AUUGAACGCUGGCGGCAGGCCUUACACAUGCAAGUCGAACGAGUGGCGGACGGGUGAGUAAUGUCUGGGAAACUGCCUGAUGGCGGGGGAUAACUACUGGAAACGGUAGCUAAUACCGCAUACCAUCAGAGGUGCCCAUAUGGGAUUAGCUAGUUGGUGGGGUAACGGCGCACCAAGGCGACGAUCCCUAGCUGGUCUGAGAGGAGGACGAGCCACACUGGAACUGAGACACGGUCCAGACUCCUACGGGAGUCAGCAGUGGGGAAUAUUGGACAAUGGGGGCAAGCCUGAUGCAGCCAUGCCGCGGGUAUGAAGAAGGCCUUCGGGUUGUAAAGUACUUUCAGCGGGGAGGCGUUAACCGCAGAAGAAGCACCGGCUAACUCCGUGCCAGCAGCCGCGGUAAUUC
rnacentral:rRNA from 1 species